rnacentral:lncRNA from 1 species
AUACUCAGUGGUGGCCAUAGAGAGUUGGUGACUGCCUUUGAGAGGAGAAUGGUUGUGAUCCUUUUGCCGAGAACUCACCCAGAGGACUUAUACCUUGGUGACAGCAGAAGGACUCAAGUUAGAAGGCCAGGGCCCUUAAAGGGAGGGGACGAUUCGAGGAAAGUAUAGGUGGGUUGGGAGGAAUUCAUGGAUAUGGAGAUGAACAAACAAAUGGGGCCGGGAGCAGGUAAAGAGGUAGACCAGAUAACACCUCCAGAGUUGCGGUUUGACCUCUGCUGGAUCUCGGAGCUUUAGAGUCUCUAGGUGGAAAUAUCACAGAAUAAGAGACAUUCUGCUAGAAGGAAAUUUCGAGUUUAUUCCUUUCUUCCCUCCUUUUACAGAUUAGAAAACUGAGGCCCAGAGAAGGAAAGUAGCUGCCAGAGGUCACACAGCUAGGAUUGAGGGAUCAGAGACUGCUGCAGCCCAGAUGCCUUCGCAGCCAUGGCCUGGCCCAUCCAACCCGCUGACCUCAUUCCCAGCUCCCCUCUCUUGCAAGCUCCCCCCUUGCCUGCCACGUAGACUGGAGGCUUAGCUGCAUCUUCGCUGGAGGGAGGAAGAGCAGAACACAGAGGCCCUGAGCCCAGAGCUCUGCUGGGUCAGACUGGCCUGGGGAGAGCAGCUGUGUUCCUCCAGCGCCCCCCAAGACCAGGCUGGGCCUCAGUUUGCCCUCCUCAAACCUCCUCAAACCUGAGGCCCAGAAGGUGGAGGGGACAGAGGUCAUGGGAGAAGCAUGACAAUGAAGUGGGUUGGAGUGGGCGAGAAUCACGUGGGGGCUCUGAGGUCAUUGUAGCCAUCCCCCUGCCUCCUCAGGGCAGGAGGGUGCUAGGAUCAGACCCAGAAAGGGACAGGGGCAGGACAUUCCUCCUCUUUUCAAGCAUUCACAAGAAGCAGAGUUCCAUGGUGGUCUAGGAGGGGGUCCUUUGUAAGAUCUAGUCUUCCUCCUUCUGCUGUGUGAGGACCACAGUAUGUGGCUAGGACGAGGUGGGCGGUACGCUGUCUUCCGUCUCUCAGCUGCUCUCAGGGACCUUCGCUUCAAUCCUGUCUCCAGGCUCUGCCUCUGACCCCUGCCUCCCCCUCGCUUUGCUUCCCUGCCCCCCAGGGUCCUGGGUCUCCAGCUGCCCCAGUUGAACAGGGGGCUGUCCCCUGCGGCUCUCAAGGCGUUCCGGGGCUGUGAGUCAUCGGGAAUGUCUGUUCUGACUGCGGCUUCCCUCUCCUGACGUGGACCCUCUUUCUCCUCCUCCCCCACACUCAGGGAGAGGGUGCCCCUCCCAGGCAGGGGGCUCUGAAGUGGGGGAGGAAGCCACAGGCAGGCCUGGGAUGAGGUCUUGCUCCCCGAUUGCCAUCGGAAGGAGGCUUCGAAGACUUGCACGCCCCUCACCCAGAUUCUACCUUCCCAAGGCAGAUAGAAUUCCCUGACUUUCUCCCAUUUCCCAGGUGGGGACACUGAGGAGAGGCGGGGAGGGGAGGGCCUGAACUUGGGUGGGCCCAGGUUCACCCACUCCCUUUUAGGGCUCAGCUUUGUCAGACUGGGAAUCUGCCCAAGUGUCCUUCUGAAGGGCCCUCCCCGCAUUCGAGGCUGGAUCUGGCAGAAAAGCUGGAGAGGCUCUGCUGCCCGCUCCAGGGAUGACACGUCUCUGCUGGGUGGGGAGUCCACGUCCGCAGAAAAGGGGGAGGCCACGUGUCUGGACCCUUCCCGCAGAGCCCCUGUGCCCUGCAAGGCUGCCUGCCACCCCCCUCCUUCUCUCCCUCCUCUCCCCAGCAGCCCUGGCCUGCCCCCUCCCUCUGAUCUCAAGAAAUAGCUGGGGGGUCGGGGGAGGGGACACUGAAGGGAAGACCAAGCUAGGAAAAGCUCCUCUCCACCCCCUCCCAGCAUGUCUGGGCAUUUCACUCCCCACCAAUGAGCCUCAGUUUCCUCAACUGGAAAAUAAGGGGGAUGAACAGAAAAAGUCUCUACCCAUGGGUGAGUCUAUGAUCCUGUCUCUGCACAGUCAGAUAGACUCAGGCACUCACACCCACUCAAACCCACCUGUGCUCUCAGGCACGUUCAUUCAUUCACACAUUCACCGAUGCACACUUACACACACAUCUACACGCACAUGUGGCCCUCUGCCUAUUUUGGGUACAGCAGAUCCCCACAAUUUCUGUUUCCCUCUUUCUGACAGCCCACCAUUUCUUCUCUCAUUCCAAUCAUACCUCCCCCAGCCCCCACCCCACCCCCUUUAGCCACCCUCUUUACAUUUCUCUACUCCUGGUUCUCCUCCUCUUGAGGUCACUGGCAGGGCAGUGAGAUUUGAACUUCAGAGUAUCAGACCUCUGACCUUGCCAAAGACCACUCUGACUCUGCCCUAAGGCUCUUUCUGAGUUUUGGGUGGGAGGGAGUCUGAGUGAGGAGAGAGAAUAGAGCUGAGAAAGGCUGGUUCUUUCCUACCCAGCUGGGGACCUGCAAAAGGGUGCCCUUCACUUGUCUUUCCUGAACAUUAUGAACAUUCGCUUUCCAACAAAGUCUGUCCCACUGACAUCCGGAGGCCUCCUCUGAAGUGCGAUCAUUUUAGCAGCUUGUCCUGGCUGUUGCCCCAGGUUGCACCCUUCUAGGAACUUCCGCCUGAGGGAGACUGGUCAGAGCUCAGGAGGGACUGUUCCAGGGGAUGAGAUAUCUGCUGGCCAGGAAAGGCAUGGGAACUGGGCAGCGGAGCACACCCUCCGGACCUGGCCCAACUUCAGAAUAACAACAAAUGAUUGUGCCAGGCUCUGCCGCUUCCAUCUGUGUGCAUGCAUGGAAAGGAUCACGGGAUGACGUGGCUGGAAACAGACCACAGGCACCACCAGUAGUUGGAAAGAUCAGAACAGAGCUGCCUCCCUCCCUUUUGCUGGAGAACUAUUGUGAGCUGACCACCACACACACGACAUCUCCUUUAAUCCUCACAACAGCUCUGGGACGUCAGCCUUAAUAUCUCUAUUUUAUAGCUGUAGAGUCAGAAGGGCCGAGGCGUUGUGCAAGAUCCCCUUUCUCAAGCUCAGAAAGAACCCAGGUGUCCUGACAGCCAGAUCAGGCUUCUCUCAUUGAUCCACACGUCCCCUAUUUCCAAAUCUACAUGGCUUCUAGACACACACAGCCACAUACAACAGACCACGCAGAAUGUUGGAAAGAAUUACAGCUCUUGGCCGGGCGCGGUGGCUCACGCCUGUAAUCCCUGCACUUUGGGAGGUCGAGGUGGGUGGAUCACCUGAGGUCAGGAGUUCAAGACCAGCCUGACCAACAUGAUGAAACCCCGUCUCUACUAAAAAUACAAAAAAAUUAGCUGGGCGUGAUGGCGGAUACCUGUAAUCCCAGCUACCCAGGAGGCUGCGGCAGAAGAAUCGCUUGAAACCAGGAGGCAGAGGUUGCAGUGAGCUGAGAUCGUACCACUGCACUCCAAUCUGGGCAACAACAGCAAAACUCCAUCUAAAAAAAAAAAAAAAUUACAGCUCUCGGUAGUGUUUGAAGAAGCACUUUGCACCUCCUCAUUGACAAUGCCCCAGGAAGGGCUUAUGCUCAUUCUGUUGUGAGGGGAAGCCCCUUGCUGGGGCUUCCCCCCUGGCUGGGAAGUGGUAAAGCUGUGAAUAGAUCCCAUGUCUGCCUGGCCUGGCCACAAAGCUAGUGCUCCUCCCACUCUCCAAUACCACCUGCCACCCUCACUGUCACCAGCCCAGAAGCACCCCCUGCACACACCAUAUCCCCAGUGAGCACACAUGCAUGUCACAGACAGGAAAAUCACACUCAUGUAGUACCUGCACGACACAGGCUAAGGGCUUUUUGGUGUUUCCUGUGUGCCAGGCCCUGUUGUAAGUUCCGUGUAGGCAUGAGCUAGAUGCAAGGCCGCAACAAUCCUAGGAUGUAGGUUCCUUUCAAUAUUCUUAUCCUCAUUUUACAAAUGAGGAAACUGAGGCUCAGAGAGGUUAAGUAAUUUGCCCAAGGUCACACAGCUAGGAAGUUGCAGAGCUGAGAUUUGAACGCAGGCUUUAACCACUGUGCUAUGGCCCAUUCUCUAAUAUUGAUUGCAUGCUACUCAUUCAGUCAGUCAUCAACUAUUACUGACUGCUGUGUUGUGCCCAACUCUGCACAGGCCCCCGGGACGGCUCUUCCCUGCCCCCUCCUCCUGACCCAGCCUGGUGUGUACCACAUGGUAGAUGGGGGCUGUACCUGCUCUCACUCUCCUUCUUUUCCAGAGUUCCUCCUCCCCCACAAGCUGGCACAUGUGGAUAUUGGCUCUGUUUUGCCUUUGACCCCUAGUGAAAGAAAAUACUGAGACGGAGUCUCGCUCUGUCGCCCAGGUUGGAGUGAAGCGGCUAGAUCUCAGCUCACUGCAACCUCUGCCUCCCAGGUUUAAGCAAUUCUCCUGUCUCAGCCUCCAGAGUAGCUGGGACUACAGGCGCAUGCCACCAUGCCCUACUAAUUUUUUGUAUUUUUAGGAGAGACAGGCCUUCACCAUGUUGGUCAAGCUGGUCUCGAACUCCUGACCUCAGGUGACCCACCGGCUUCAGCCUCCCAAAGUGCUGGGAUUACAGGCAUGAGCCACCGCGCCCAGCCUCAUAUCUAUCUUUAUCACUCCAUUUCAGAUCUUCUUCCAUAUAUGGCUCUGUGUGUCUCCUGUCCUUCCCUGUCUCCUCACUGCUUUUCAGCUGGUAGACCCCUGUGGGGACAACAGAUCAGAGCUUGGUCACCAAUAUGGACAUCUAGGUCUGAGCAGGGCCCACUCCCCGGGGGCGCAUCAGCUCCAUCCCGGCACCCUUUACACUGGCCUUCUCUUCACAAAGGACCACAGGUCAUCCUCAAGCCUUCCUCCCAGGCUAUCCUUGUCCCUGAAUACUAAUGUCUAAAGGUCAGCCCAGCUACCAGCAGUGUGCAUGUGAUGUGUCCCAUCUCCCCUUCGGAUUGGAGGAAGAAGCUGUGUCCCUCCCAUCAGACAGACGGUCUCCUUAAAGGUAGGCAUUGCGUCCACUCGUUCAGACAGAGAGCUCUCUGAAGUCAGGGAGUGUGUCUCCCAUACCAGAUUGGGGUUCUUUGAGGGUAUAACGUAGGUUUUCCCAUCAGACUAGGAGCAGGCCUGUGUCACCUCCUUCCUCUAGAUUCUCCUGGUCUCCAGCUUGGGCUCUGCUGGAAAGAAGAGGAAGUAUUUAGCAAGGGUGAAGGUAUGAUGCCCUCCCCACCAUCCAACCAGAGAUAAGAAAAGACCAGAAUAUGAAUAUCCAGCAUUCCACAAAGAAUCCUACAGGCAGGGAUAUUGCCCAAUCACCAGUGCCUCGCAUCCCAGUUCUAUCCAAGAUCCAAGCUUGAUAUCCUCCUGAAAGACUUCCUGAAUCAGGUCACCAACAUGGACAUCUGAACUUCCAGAAUCAGGUCACCGUCUUUCUUCUCAUCUCUGGAUGUAUUUGGAGCUCAUUUGUCUGACGGUUUUUGAAUGCUAUCUUUUAAAAAUAAACUUUUACAAUUUGGGUUUAAUAAUUCUAGAUUUAUAGAAAAGUUGAAAAGAAAGUACAGAAAGUUCCCAUAUAUCCCUUAUCCAGUUCUCUUAAUGUUAACCUCCUACAUCAUCAUGGAACAUUUGCCAAAAUGAAGAUGUCAACACUGGUGCUUUGCUGUGAACUAAACUCCAGACUUUAUUCGGAUUUCAUGAAUUUUUCUCCUAAGGUCCCUUUUCCGUUCCGGCAUUCCACCCAGGAUAUCACAUUGCAUUUGGUGUUUGUGUCUCCUUGGUCUCCUCUGGUUCUUGAGAGUUUCUCAGUCUCUCCUUGUUUUUCGUGACUGAAGUUUCAAGGAGUACUGGUCAGGUAUUCCAUAGAAUGUCCUACUGUUAGCUUUCAGCAGUAAAAGCCUUUCCACAAACAAAACCUUCUGCAGAGUCCUAAUCUGUGAACAGACAAGAAUGGAGUUGCCAUGGUCACAGCAGUGAUGAGAAAUGAUCCCCUGAAUAUGAAUCUCCAUGAAACCCCCCGAGAAUUAUAAGAAACCCCCAGGAUACCAUGGA